AUAUAUAUAUAUAUAUAUAUAUAUAUAUAGAGUCUGACUGGGAUACUAUCGAUAGUAUCAAGAAUUUAGUGCUAUCGAGUUUUCCACCGUUUGAUUUAACCUUCUGAUUAUUUUUAUAAGUUAAAUUAUACUAUUCAACCAACCACUCACUCAACCCUAGGGUGGGACAUCAUCAUAAUCAUUCAUUUUUCAAUCUAAAGACUAAAAAGUCAAUAGCACCAAACUAGAACUAAAAAGUCAAUAGCACCAAUAGUUUGGUACUAUUGACAGUAUUUCAGUUUAGUUCUAUAUAUAUUUAUAUGUAAAAUUUAAAUAAGGAAAAUAUGUUGAUAUCAGUUUGUAGCUACCUUUGUUACCUUUGUGUUGGUACAAACCCUCCAGCGUACCAAGUUAAUCCGAGUCAAAUCACACGGGAAUCCCGAGGUGCCUGCUAGGGAUCAGGCGCGGCGAUGGGUCACGGUAGAGGCAGACACAGGAGGGGGCCACGUGUACCGGCGUGGCUGAGACGGGCGUCCUCAUCUCGUGAAAUGGCUGCCGCGUGGAACGAGUCCGUACGUCCUCACAUCCCUCCAUACCUAUUUAUUAUUUAUUUAUUAAUUUAUUAAUAAUGCCUCCCACAACCCACCCCACCCCCUCUUCACUCACUCCCUCNNNNNNNNNNNNNNNCCCUUCUCUUUCGUUCUUCCCAAUACAUAUAAUUCAUUUUUUGGGUCCUCUCGGUGUAUUUGUACAUCUCAUGCGCCGCGGAGCGAGCCGAACACGAGCUAACUCACACCAGCUGGAGAUUAGGACUGAAUUGGUCCCAGCUUGUGAUCCACUCAAAAGUAAUUUGAGUCUAGGGAUGUUAAUCGAUACGAAUAUUCAAAAUUCUAUCUGGUUUCGAUCUCGACCUCGAACUAAGUGAAGUUAUUCGAUACUUAAUGAAUAUAGUUUCGAAUAUGACUAUCAUGAACGAAAACUUGACGAAUUUGAAUUCAUGUAUGAAUUUUUAUUAUAUCCGAUCUGAACCAAAAUCCGCCCCGAAUCCAAAAUUAUUUUAUAUUAUAUAUAAUAUGCAUAUAAAUAUUUGAUGUUGUAUUUUAUUUUUUUUUUUAAGAAUUUAGAUGUAAUGUAAUAUAUUUUAAAAUAUUGUAUAGAAAAUAAUUAUUUCGGAUUCAAAUUUUCGGGUUCUGACUUGGGUUUGGGUGUUGAAUUUCUGAUCAGGUUCGAAUUUGGAUAUGAAUUUUUAAAAUCCGUCGAAUUCAUGUUCGGAUUCGGGUUUUGGUUUGGUGUUCGGGUUCGAAUUUUUGAAAAUCCGUUCCGAUUCUAACCCGUUGACAUCCCUAUUUUGAGCCGACACGUAUUCAGAUCAAAAAUUUAAAUAAGCUGGAAUAAUCCUGGUUUUCGACUUGAAAUUAAUUCGAGCUGGCUCGAGCUAGUUUUAAUUAAACUUAAAAAAAAUACUAUAUUAACUAUAAUUAGUAUCAUUAUUUGUUAUUAUUGACACAUGUUUUUGCUCUUAGUAUUAUUAAUAAAUAUUAAAAUAAAAAAUUCAAGCUAAUAAAAAAAUUUAAAAAUAAUAUUUUGUAUCAGAAUAGCUAACUAUAAUUACAACUCUAAUUCUUAAUUAGGAGUCGUUCGUCUCCCUACAUAUCACUCAAGAAAUGUCAUAUAAUUUUGCUACAAACUAAUUAAUUAUGCCACUUUGGAUUAGAAAGUUAUUUGCUCUUGUUAAUGGACUUAACUAUCCAUAAUCUUACCACGUCGGAAAUGAAUCAAUGAUCAAUACUGUCUAAUCUAUGCGAACUUAAUAUUUCUUUUAGUUGAAAAUUUAUGAUGCUUACAUCCGUAAAAGUUUAUUACACGACAAGUAUCUAACUAUUUUGAAUAAAAUAUUUUAAUUAUUUUUAAUAUAUUAUAAAUUAUAAAACAAACAUAUAGCAAUAGUUAAUGCCCUUCAAAUCAAGGGAAAAAAACGAAAACAUUAAAUCCAAGAUGUCGCCAAUAUUUUAGCAACUUUAUGCGGCAACCUUAAAUUUAUAUGACCACCUUAGAAGAUGUAAUUAAUUAAUCUUUUUUUUUUUUUGCAUUAUGGAUAUUAAUCUAUUAAAGAUACAUAAAAACAACAGUCCAUAUAUAUGAACUGCACCAGUAUUGCUAUUUGCUACCCCUAUUAUGCUGCAUUUAUGUGUUAUUAUUAUAUUAUUUGAAAGUGUAUUAACUAAGUCCAUCGACUAUUAAAUUUUCUAACUACAUAUAAAAAUUGCAAUGUUACUAGGUUAGAAAUUGCUCUAUUGGAUGUAGUCAAUAAUGUUCAAAAGAAGAUGUAAAUAUUGAAGGUCAUAAAUUUUUGAUUUUUUUUUUUUCAGUGAAAGGUAGGAUGCUAUCCGCUUCAUUUAUUUCGUCUAGAAAUAAACUUACCUGGAAAUGUGAAUAAACUAGAAUUCGAAUUUGGAUCUCGGAUAUCAACCAUCAAAUUUUUUUGCCACUUGCCCUAGGAAUGGUCGGUAAUUUUUGAUAAUUUUUAGUAAUGGCUAACUGAUAGAUUAAUUCUAAAAUUUUUAACUCCUACUUUAUAAAUUUAUGAAUUAUUUGGAUCAUAUCAUAACAAGAAUGCACUAUAUUUUAAUUGUAAAAAUUAUCAAUUAAGUAAAAAUUUGUUCAUAAAAUUGUUUCCUCUACUGUGAUGGGGAUGCGAACCAUAAGCAGCAGGCUCGGGUGGUCGCACAUGAGAUGCGUCCCCACCAAAUUUUGUUUUUGGGGAAACGACGCAACGGUAAACCGGGCGCAGGGAAAAUCCCCCCUCAACUCGAACGGUACGGACAAGUGAGUUUUGCGAGCCCAAGGCACUCAGUGCAACGGUUACACGCGCGAUCGCUUUCGCCGACACGCGGGCCCCACAUCUCUGCGCGUGUGGGGCCCGCGCGUCGGCGUAUAACGACCGCGGUAGGCAAGCGUUACACCGGAGCGGGAGUGGCGCCUCGCAGUUAGCGACUUGGCCGGUGACGUGGCGGGGGAACGCGGGUGCGGGUGCGGGUGCGGGUGCGGGUGAACGUGCUACGGCGGCCCCUCUUCACGUGGACCGAUCCUACGUGGCCCUAUGAGGUGGCUCGGAUCGCAAAUUAUUUGUUGGAUACAUGUCCACGGGGUUCAGGUCCGUGUCACCGGACCCGAAUGCGACCCGGCGAUUUUGAUUUUUAGCCUCGGUUUCGAUUGAUUGGGCGAGGGAUCGGACGAUGUGGUUCCCUCCAUGUGCCACAACGUUAGAGGGCGCCUUUGACGGUCGCUAUCUUAAUUUUGUAGCCAUUUGUUGCACCUAGAAACUUCUGCAACCGGAUAGAAUAUGGUUUACUUUUUCACUACAAAAAAAUAAAUAAAUAAAUAAAAUUAACUCUCUUUCUCUCUAUAUAUAUUAUUUUAGUAUUAACAGCAUAAACUUUACGCGAAUUUACUGUACUGCGUCCACGUAAAAGGCUUGUUUACUUUAACAAAAUUAUUAUUAUUGUUUUUUUACCGACAAUAGUAUACUGCAGUUAAUUAAAGAGAUUUGAUGUUUAGUGGAUUCGGUUUUUUAACUGAGUUUAUUUCUACGUCAUCAUACCAAACUAUGUAAAAUAACUAAAAUUUUCAAAAACUUAAACUGCGAGUGAAUAAAUAAUUUUUUUUAAAAUUAAUUAAAAAGUAUGAUUUGAUUUUAUUUAAAAUAAAAGCUGUAUCUAUUUUCCUCUAUAUAUAUAUGAUGAUCCUACGUGUUUGAUCUCAUUGUGAAGCAUGGUCUCCCUUUCAUUAUUAGCCCUAGAGUGGGUGCUUGCGUGCUCAUAAUAUCCCGAGCCAUCCUGUCGCCCGAAUUUGUGCCAUGCAUGUUCCACCAAACUUGGCUCCGAAUUGAAUGCCACACAACGCUGUUGGGCUCCACGAACCCGACCUUACAAAACCACCCGAUAUUAAAACCCCGCCCUGCAUCAAAUCAAAUCAAAUCAACGGUCGUGAUGGCACCUAACUUAACUGUUCUUAUUCCGGAUCAAUAAUUAUCCAUUUAUUUAUCCCUCCUCCCGGGAAGGAAUAUAAUAAACACUAGACUAGAUAGAUAACACAAAAUCCUCGCAUCGCGACAAAAAAAAAAAGAAAAAGAAAAAGAAAAAGAAAAAGAAAAAAGCCCCAGCACGGACCCGAGUUAAACCCAAACCCUCGUUUAUUCCCCGCUUUAACCUUUUGCCUGAAGAAGAGAAUAAAUAAGACCCAGAAUAUUAUUAUUAUUAUAUAUGAUAAUAUAAUAUUAAGAACUAGACUGGAAUACUAUUAAUAACACUAAUGAUUUGAUGCUAUUAAAUUUUCUAUUUUUAAAUUAAAAGAUAUACGAUUAGAAUAAUAUGAGCUUUUUAAAGUUGAAUGAAUGAUUGAUUGAAUAGUAUAAUCGAAUGGAUAUAAAAAUGAUAAAAAAGUAAAUUUAAUUAUAAAAAAAUUUGAUAAUACUAAAUAAUUCGUACUAUCGAUAGUAUCCCAAUCAGACUCUAAUAUUAAAUAUAAUAAUACUAAGUUAAUGUUGUGUUAUGUUAUGUUACGUUAUAUUAUUUUAUUCAGCAAAAAAAAAACCCGAACCCUCCCCGCCAGUUUAUAUUUACCGCUCCCUCCCUAAACCAGGUGGCAUCUGAAAUACAGCGAGAAAGAAAGAGAUUGUUGAGAGAGAGAGAGAGUUUGUAGAGGAGAUUGUAGAGAGAGAGUGAGUGAGAGAGAGAGAGAGAGAAUGAUGAUGAUGGGAGAAGGGGGUCGUCACCUCCAUCGCGAUCCGACGGUGCACGCGCCGCCGUGGAGCCCGUUCGACGAUCCGACGGGGGGGUACGGGGGCGGGGAGUGCUCGCCGUACGUGAUGGGGGGUGGGGCGGCGGCGCUGGCGGCGGCGCUGCAGGGCUACGCGGCGGUGGCGGCGGCGGCGGCGGCGGCCGCUGGGGAGGAGGAGGAGGAGGAGGAGCUGCUGGACGAGGCGGAGCUGGCGGACGCGCCGGUGGACGCGUUCUCGUGCGACGAGUUCCGGAUGUACGAGUUCAAGGUGCGGCGGUGCGCACGGGGGCGGAGCCACGACUGGACGGAGUGCCCCUACGCCCACCCGGGCGAGAAGGCGCGCCGCCGCGACCCCAGGAAGUACCACUACUCCGGGACCGCCUGCCCGGACUUCCGCAAGGGCAACUGCAAGCGCGGGGACGCCUGCGAGUUCGCGCACGGCGUCUUCGAGUGCUGGCUGCACCCGGCGCGCUACCGCACCCAGCCCUGCAAGGACGGCACCGCCUGCCGCCGCCGCGUCUGCUUCUUCGCCCACACGCCGGAGCAGCUCCGCCUCCUACCCCAGCAGCAGCAGCAACAGCAGCAGCAUCAGCAGCAUCAGCAGCAGCUUCUCCUUGCGAGCCCUCGGGGAUCCUGCUCCGCGUCGUCGGCGCCGCCUCCCGAGUCCUACGACGGGUCCCCGCUGCGGCGACGCGCGCUGGAGUCGUCGCUGUCGAAGGGCCUCGCCUCGAGCUCGCCCACCUCCACGCUGCUCUCCCCGCCGCUCUCGCCGCCGUCCGAGUCCCCGCCCAUCUCCCCCAGCGGCAGCGCCGCCGCCGCCGCCGCGCUGCGGCGCGCGUCGUGGCCCGUGGCGGGCGCGUCCAUGAACGAGCUCGCCGCCUCCUUCCGGACCAUGCAGCUGAGCAAGGUGAAGUCGGCGCCGAGCUCCUGCGGGUUCCAGCUGGGCGGCGCGUUCGGCUCGCCGCGGGGGAGCGCCGGGGGUUUCGGCGGCGGGUUCUGGAGCCUCCCUUCGACUCCCACCAAGGAGUCGGCGGUGGGUGGGGGUCUCAUCGCCGGGUUCGGCGACGGCGCCGAGUUGGGCCUGGUGGGAGAGGAGCCGCCCGUUCAGAGGGUGGAGUCCGGGAGGGCGCUGAGGGCGAAGAUGUUCGAGAGGCUGAGCAAGGACUGCGCCGUGGCCAAGUCCGAUACCCCGACUCCUACCCCGGACGUCGCCUGGAUUUCAGAGCUCGUCAAGUGAUUUGCUGGGAACUACCCAAAGAAUAUUAUAACAAGUGUUAUGAAAAAAAAAAAAUAAGAAGAAGAAGAAAAGAGAGACGGGGAAAAAGUAAAGAAGAAAAAAAAAAAAGAAACGAAGGAAAGAUGAUGGAUUUUGGUAAGGGGUCUAAGCGCCCUAAUUUUUUGCAUGAAUAUUGUGAAUAUUGUUGUUGUCCAAAAAAAAAAAAAAAAAAGGGAGAAAAAGAGAGAAUGUUAAUUCUGUAUAUAGGUGUGAAGGGUGCAUGGAGGAGAGGGAUUACGAUGCUAGUGGGUGGAUCUGUUUUGGGGCUUCUUGCUGUAGUGGCAGUAAAUAUUAUUUAGCACUCUCCUGUGUAUAGAGACCAAUCAAAUUUGAAGCGACCAACGGAGAAGAUGAUGAAGGAACUAAAGAAGGGUGGCAUCAACUGCUGUGGGAAAAAUUACUUUACUAAUUUCGAUUUUUUUUUUAAGCAUAUGUUAUGUUGCUGCUUAGCUUUUGUUCAUCUUGGAAAUUUGCUUAAAAUUGUCGCACUCCUUUAAUCUCACCGUUUUGGUUCUAUUUUUGUGCAUGCUUGUAGUUUUCUGAUAUCCUGAUCUUUUAUAUAAAAUAUAUGUAACUGUAUCUCUCAUUGUCAUCUUCGCGUUAUUAUAAAAAUGUAAGAUAUUGCUCUUAUCCAAGUUUGAAUCUCUCCUUGUUUGAACAUUUCCUGCUGUGUGAUGAGGGUUCGCACUUCUUUUUCUCAAGUGGCUGUGCAUGUGAUCUCAUGACCAUGACACGAAAAAAAAUUUGUGGCAGUUAAUUUUGCGUCGGAUGGCCCCGUUGAACAAGAUGAGCAGGGAUUAAUUUAACACAGUUUAUAGUUGUAAUUUUUGGUUCUCUCUCGCUUUGUUGGAAUUAUUAUCCUCGGAGAGCAACCUGUGGCUUUUCUAUUUUCUGGAGAGAAGCGUGCGAAGCUAAAGAGAAAUGGACCAAAAAAUUAUUCUUGUUUUCUCUGUCGAGUCCAAAUUAAAUUCUGUGAAAAAUAAGAACUCGAUAUCAAUGAGAUUAUCUUUUAAAAAAUUAUUUUGUUAUUUUAAUAUGAUGACAACAUUAGAGGGGUAUAUUGCAAUGAGCCCAAGAUAUUUUUCAAAACUUUAAUAAAAGAGGGACAGGGAGUCAGGGACUUAAUAGGAGUAAAAAAAAACCUUGGUAAAUAAAAGAAAUAAAUAUAUAUAUGUAGUGUAAAGAUGUUUGGUUUAAUAGAGACAGGACACACUUUACUGCAGUUGUGCUGUUUCCAUCCCUUUACUUGCCCCGCUGGGGUCCUCGUUGAGAAAUAAAGGAGAAAGAUCAUGAGAAAUCCGGAAGCGGCCGUACCCAUUGAACUAAGAGAAAGAAGGAAAAACUUAAAAAAAAAAGUAAAUAAAUGCAUGGAGAACCCCCCCUCAAUUAUAGCCUAUUUUGAAGUACACCCCUCGACUAUUAACUUUUAAAUUUGUAUCUUUCUAUUUAAGUUCCUCUCGUUAAUUCAAAGUUCCUGCGCCUACCUGUUUUAUUUAUUUUUUAAAAAAUUAAAUUUAAUAAUAUAAAAUAAUUAGGUUUCAAAGUUGAGACCUAAAAUGCCAGCUAAUCAUUUUUUUUUUACCACUUAGUCUAAAAAUAAUCCAUAUUUUAAUUUUAUUGGUCUAGAAAUUAUCGUACUAGUCUCGGCAUACAUCUCUGUAAUAAUACUUAUGAUGAUAUUAAAAAGGUUGUAAAGAGGAUGGAAUCUUUAACUGAUGGUAUAAAGAAUAAAUCUAUGCCUAAUUUUUAAAAUUUACAUAUAGUUAUAUAAGCUUAUAAUCAAGAGGGCUAUUUUCAGAAUACACUAUAGUUGAAGGACCCUCCAUAUCAUUUUCACCUUGCUCGCCCUUUUUAUGUACAUCUUUUCUUCGCUACUGUCCCAAUAUAUUCCACCCUAUUCUCACGCAAACAAGCACUCUUCCUACUACAGGGGCUACAUCUCAUUUAUUACUACUUGUACUACAUUUGUGUUAUUAUUAUUAUUAUUAUUAUUUUCAGUACAUUAUAUAUAUAUAUAAUUAUAUAUAAAUAUAUAUAUUUAAUAGCUUUGGUUUCAUUUAUAGAGAUGGGUGGGUAGAGGGGGAGUAGUCCUUUAGUCGCGUCUUUUCACGUGGUUAAAGCGGAGGACCCGGCUCCUGCUGCUAUUGUUGUUCAUCGUCCUUUUUUUUUUCUUUUUUUUCUUUUUUCCUUUUCUUUUUUAUUCAUUUUUUUAAGUGCAUGAAGGCUCAGGCAAUUUUGAAAUCGCCCCUCAACGACCGAUUAGUUUUCAACGCAAGUGACAAAAAUAUUUAGUAAGAAAUAUUUAAUUAUUUUAUUUUUUAAUUUUAUAUUUAUUUUUUUAAAAAAAAAUAAAAUAAAAUAAAUAUUAUACUAUUUUCUUCUCCAAAAAAAGAAUCACCCCUCAGCUUCAAAUUUUGAAUAAUGUUUUUUUGGAAUGUUUGGUUUGCAUGCAGUUGAAAAUAUACGCAUUUAUUAAAUUUUUGUUUGAUUUAGUAUAGUCAGGCCCAAUUGCUAUAGUUGCAUCUUUACGUGAAUGCUCAACCGGAGCAGUAAAUACUGCAACCAAAUUAGCUGUAGUACCAUCUGCAGUAAUUGUACUGGAGUCGGCUCACCUAUUAAAAAAUAAAUAAAGUAUGGUUUUUUUUUCAUACGUUUUUAUUUUAAAAUUUUUUUUUCAAGAAUAUCUAUUCAUAAAAUCUAUUAGGAUUUAAUAAUGUCGGUUAGAAUUCAAUAAAUUUUUUUUACAUGCUUCUAUUUUUUUCUCCCAAUUUGCUAGUUCAGUAAUGUCUUAGUUUUUGUUUUGGUCAAAUCUAUAAUAUAUUUGCAUUUAAAAUUCAUUAAAUUUAUACAUAAUUUUAUAAUAUAUAAAUUAUAAAAUUGGGUUAGCAUCCCUGCAAAGUUCAACUUUAAUAAGUUAUUUCUACAAAAGUCCUAAUAUAUUCAGAUAUGUCCCUCUAGUUAACAUUCGUUAGAAAACUGUUUAAUUUUUAACAGUAGAUUCGUGAAAUGACAUUUUUGCCCUCAUAAAUAUGUCCCUUCAAAACUUCAACUGAUAUACAUUUGCAGAAAUGCCCUCACAAAUCUCCAUUUUUUUCUUUCUCUACCUUUUCGGGCUGCGGGGGGUAGAUGAUGGUGGCGACGGCGCAGAGUUUGUCAGAGUUGCAGUCGACGAGGACAAGACUAAGGCCCGUAGCGACAAGGCGGAGGGUGAAGUGCGACCGAUUCGAACAAAGAGGAGGAAAAGGAAAAGAAAAAAAAAAGAAGAAGGAAGGAAGAGGAGAAAGAAGAAGAAGAAUAGGAAGAGGAAGAGGAAGAAUAUGAAAGGUAAAAUUAUUAAUUUACCUUAUUAAUUAGUUAUGGUUAAAUAUUUUAACUGUGGUUAACUAAAUUUUUUUAACGGAUCCUAACGGUAGGGACAUAUCUGAAUAUAUUAAGAUUUUUGCUGGGAUAACUUAUGAAAGUUGAACUUUGCAGGAACAUAUCUGUAAUUCACCAAAUGUGCAAGAACCUAUAUGCAAUUAACCUUAAAUUAUAUAUAAAUAUAAAAGUGUUAAUUAAUAAUUAAAAAAAUUCAUAAUUAUGUUAUAUUCAGAAGAAGUAAUCUCAAAUUUCUAUCUAAAAAUUGACAAAAUUUACAAACACAAAUCUCUACUGCAACCUACCAAACAAAAAAAAUAUAACUGUAGCAGUUGCAAUUGUAUAAAACCAAAUAGACUAGACAUAAUUAUAACUAUAACAUUUGCAACGGUAUAUAUUUCCAACUAUACUGUUUUUAAAACUACAUCCAACUAAAUAGCCCCUUAGUAAAGUUCAUUUUACAAAAAAAAAAGUUAAUAUAAAAAAAAGCUAGACUCGUACACUUUUGAAAGCACGUAAAUUUUCGUACUUAUAAAUUAUUUUUGAUGAUAAAACAUUCCAUUCAACGAUCGACUCUGUUAUAUAGGAUCGUCACCAUUAACCUUAAAAUGAAUGACUAAAAAUAAAACUUUUAUAAAAAAUAAUGAUAAAAGACUCCAAUUUCAAAUCAAAAAUAUUGUUCUUACUCCUAAUGUUAAGUAAAAUUUUUUAUUAAAAUUUUAUAUAAUUUAAAUUUUUUUACACGGUAAAACUUACAAACAUACAACAUCAAGUACAAAAUCCUCCGUGUUUUUUAAAGUGUAGAAGACGUAUUCCAUAAAAAAUUCACCACGCGUUAGUUUUUAUUUGGGCUGAGAAGUCGUCAUUUUUUUUUUUUAUUGAUUUAAACUUAAUUAAGUUUAGUUUUGUUAAAUAAAAUGUAACAUUAAAAAAAAUAAUUAUUAAUUUAAUAUAAAUAAAUAGUUUGUCUUUAAAAAUUUUAAGCUAUUAAAAUAUGUGGUUAAUAUUUAUAUUCAUAUUCAUCACUUCUUAUAUUUUGAUAUCAAAUUUUUUGACAAUUCAAAGACAAAAAUUUUAAUCAGACCGAAGAAAAUAAAAUAAUACUUGGAACUCAAAACAUCUUAUCAUGACACUAUAUGAAAUAUUAUCGAUUGAUUUUUAAAUACUCUCUAGCUAGCUAAUUUUUUUUAAAAUAUAUGGGACAAAAAUUGCCUAAAUUUUCAUUAUAUUUUUUUUCUAAAAAAGAUAAUGGCCAUGUGCGGAUUUUCUGAAGAAAAAAAAAAAAGUCUACAUUAUAAUAUUUAUACCAUAUCAUAUCUUUUUAUUUGAGUAAAAAACAUAAUGAAUAAGACGGAUAAAUCUAAAGAGAUAAAGUGAUUGAUUAAAAAUACCACAUCACCCAGCAAUAUAACUAAUAUAUUCUUUUUUUCUUUUUUUUUUUCUUUUUUUUUUUUGAAGAAGAGAGAAAUAUUAAUAGCAUUUUUUUUUGUCCCUUUUUAUUUUUCAUAUACUAAUUUUUAAUAAACGAAUUUUAUUUUUAUCCGUUUAAAAUAUGUGUGAUGAUACGAUAUGAUGGUAUGGGUAUGCCCAUCGCUGUCUGUCGUGUUGGUGUUAUCCACUCCCUCAGUCGGGCGUCGCUGUCAGGGGUGAAGAAGAUCUACAAACCCCAGCGGCGUUCCUGGGUCCCACCCUUUUGCAGUGGAGUAAUAAUUCAAUUAUUUUCCGCGCCUGGUGCAUCCUUAUUACCCUGCGCACCGCAUUCAUCCACUGACCAAAUAGUUAUUAAAUGAUUUACUUACUAUUAUAAUAAGUAUCGAUUAAUUAUCAAACAACUAUUUUAUAUUAUUAUAAUAAUAUAAUAUUAGAAUAGAAGAUUUUUAAGUUCAAAUAGUAAGCUUUUUUUUUUUUUUUUUUUUUUUACCUAACAUCAUUUUUUUUGGCGUGGUUAUAAAUUGUAUAUACCUGUUGAUACAACUUUUUUUUAGAAAUAAAUAGCACGCUACCUAUUUUGUUUAUUUCAUAUAGAAAUAAACUUAGCUGGAAAUGUGAAUUAACUAGAAUUCGAACUUGAAAUCUCGGAUACCAACCACUAAGUCUUUUGCCAUUUACUUUAGGGAUGGUCAGUUUAAAUAGUAAGUUUUGAACUUAUAAAAUGUUCAAAACUCAGACGUAGUAGUACGCCGUUAAAAAUAUAUUAUCUUAGAAACCGAUCAGCUUACAAAAUAAGACUUUUACUUGACUCUACAAGAAAUUGAUAAUCGCACAGCAUGAAAAAAGUAUUUUUAACCACAACGAUCUCAAACUAGGCCUAAAUUGGUUUUUUUUUUCUUUUUUUUUUUUGAGAAAAUCUUUGAUGAGAUUUUAGCAUGUGUUUUACGUGAUAUAGUCAUACACUGGGUGUAGGUAAUGAUUUCCGAUGGGAUGAGAUACAUAGCUGUGCACGCAACAGGGAGCAUCCCAAGCCCGAGGUGUUAAUAAAGGAAAAUUGGGUGCACAGAUGGCCAUGAAAGUGGGAAGGAGCAUGUCCAUAAACAGGAUCCGAAGAUAUUUCGUAGUAAUUGUGGGCUCCAUUUCGCUAUCCAUUACUGGAUAAAACAGAAUAAAAUGAGAACAAAGUCACUUACAAACUGGUGGUAACCGAAGAUAUUUAGCACAGAUGGCCAAGAACUUAUUCGACGGUAGAUAUCUGAUAUCUUAAAUUCAAAAUCUAAUUAUUUUAUAAUUUAAAUUGUAUUUUAAUUUUGAAAAAAAAAAAUUAAAUGAAACAGAGAAUUUAAAUUUAGGACUCAGUGUGUCCCUCGACUUAGGUGUAAGAAUAGAAAUAUUUCUAAAUACUUUGAAGUACUUACGUUUAUCAAAUUGGAUAAGAGGGGUGAAAUUAUCGAAUCCCUUCUCAAAUGUUUAUCCCAGAGUUUUAGUUCCCUAGAGCAAGUGGCAAAGGACCCGAGGUCCCAAGUUCGAAUUCUAGUUGAUUCAUAUUUACAGAAAAGUUUAUUUCUAAAUGAAAUAAACGAAGCGAAUAGCGUGUUACCUAUCUCUAAAAAAAAAAGAAAAAAAAAGAAGGAUUUGGAAGAUCCUCAAACCUAAAGAAGCACUAGCAACAAUUGCUUUUCGAACAUCAAAGUCCCAAUAGUUUCCAGUAACUUCUAUUCGGAAUUUCUUUCUCUUGAUCUUGUGAUAUUUCUUUCUAUUCGUCAUACGAUAGCAACUAAUAAGAAAUUGAGCACCCAGUGCAGCUUUCAAAGAGUCUAUUCAAUUUUCCCAUAUAUUCAAUGACUUGGACACACGGAUAACAUGGUAUUUAGUCAAGGAUUGUGCAAAUAUCCUCUAAGGUAUCGUUUGAUUUGGGAAUAAAUAAAAAGUGUCUAUUUCGGGGAUAGAUAUAAAUUGAGGUAUAAGCGGGGAUUAAAUUAAUUUUGCGUUUGGAUGAAAAUUAGGUUAUUCUUGGGAAUAAAAAAAAAAGCUUUUGUAUAGGUAAGAUAGAAUAAGAAGAAUAGUGAGUUUUAUAAAAAAAAAAAUAAUGUAUUAUCCUCUUAUUAUAUUUAAAUUUAAAUUUUUAAAUUUUUAAAUUAUAUUUUUAAAUUUAAAAUUUCAACUUUGAAAUUUCAAAAGUUGAAAUUAAAAUUUUAAAUUUUAAAUCUCAAAAUUUCAAUUCAAAAUUUUAAAUUUUAAAUCUCAAACUUUAAAUUUAAGAUCAAAUUUAAAUUUGAAAAAUAUAAAAUAUUAAAUUUCAAAAUAUCAAAAUUUGAAUUUUAAAUUUUAAAUUUUAAAUUUUAAUUUUGAGAUUACAAAUUAAAAAUUUUUAAAUUUAAAUUUNAUGUAUUAAUAUAAUAUAAUUAAUAAUUUUAUAAUAAAAAUAAUGUAUUAUAAUAUACAAUAUAUUAUAUUUAUAUAAUUUAGUUUUAAUUCAACUUAUAAUUUUAAUUUUGUAAUUAAACAUUGUAAUAGUACUAUUCCAUCAAAAUGGUGAAAAUUCCCGCUUAUCCCCUUACCAAACAGAUCCUAGAAGUUUUCAAAACAUUAAAAAACAAUCGCCUUACAUAAUUUAAUAUGAAAACAAAACAUGUGAGUCUGAGUUCGAAUCACACCAAAUUCCUAGUUUAGAUUAAUUUUCUUCAUUUAGUUCAAGUGUGUAUUUUAUAGACUUUGCUCACAAAUAUGGGGACAUGGAAAAAAUGUAUUUAGUUUAAGACAUUAGAUCUUUAUAUAUACCGGUUCUACCAAGGCUAGAAUGAAUAUAUGAUGUUGAAGUUCCGAGGGUCCACUAAAAAGCAUAGAAGAAGAUAAGAUUUACAUGAUAUAGAUCUCAACUCUAGUAGGGGUUCAAUAUUAAGCUAUACUUAGAUACUUCAAUACCCCACCUUGAGUCUAUAUAUAGAACCCUUCAACCACUUUUUUAAAGAUGAUAAUAAAGCACUCCAUCUCUUAUAAAAAAAGGGCAAGAAAAAAAUCUAGAUGUAGGUCCUCUAAUAGUCUAUUGGUAAUGGAUUAGGUUUGUACUGGUUUUGUGAAAAUUGAGAUACAAAGAUGCUACAAAUAUAUAAAAUAAAUAAUUGAGCAUCUAUUUAUGACGGCCAACCUAUUUUUGU
rnacentral:lncRNA from 1 species